UUCUGAAUAUCUACACACCAAAUGCCAG
rnacentral:piRNA from 1 species